rnacentral:tRNA from 1 species
CGACGUGUAGCUCAACAGCAGAGCACCCGGCUCGGGACCGGGAGGGUGCGGGGGCAGGUCCCGCCACGUCGG